UACGUAGGGGGCAAGCGUUGUCCGGAUUUAUUGGGCGUAAAGAGCGUGUAGGCGGCCAGGUAGGUCCGUUGUGAAAACUCGAGGCUCAACCUCGAGACGUCGAUGGAAACCAUCUGGCUAGAGUCCGGAAGAGGAGAGUGGAAUUCCUGGUGUAGCGGUGAAAUGCGCAGAUAUCAGGAGGAACACCAGUGGCGAAGGCGCCGCUCUGGGCCGUGACUGACGCUGAGGAGCGAAAGCGUGGGUAGCAAACAGG
rnacentral:rRNA from 1 species